UACGUAGGUGACCAGCGUUGUCCGGAUUUACUGGGCGUAAAGCGCACGUAGGCGGGUCGUUAAGUCGAGGGUGAAAUCCUGGAGCUCAACUCCAGAACUGCCUUCGAUACUGGCGACCUAGAGUCCGGAAGAGGUGAGUGGAACUCCUAGUGUAGAGGUGGAAUUCGUAGAUAUUAGGAAGAACACCAGUGGCGAAGGCGGCUCACUGGUCCGGUACUGACGCUGAGGUGCGAAAGCGUGGGGAGCAAACAGG
rnacentral:rRNA from 1 species